UACGUAGGGGGCAAGCGUUGUCCGGAUUUACUGGGCGUAAAGAGCGUGUAGGCGGCCAAGCAGGUCCGUUGUGAAAACUGGAGGCUUAACCUCCAGACGUCGACGGAAACCGCGUGGCUAGAGUCCGGAAGAGGAGAGUGGAAUUCCUGGUGUAGCGGUGAAAUGCGCAGAUAUCAGGAAGAACACCAAUGGCGAAGGCAGCUCGCUGGGACGGUACUGACGCUGAGGCGCGAAAGCGUGGGGAGCGAACAGG
rnacentral:rRNA from 1 species